rnacentral:rRNA from 1 species
UACGUAGGGGGCAAGCGUUGUCCGGAAUCAUUGGGCGUAAAGAGCGUGUAGGCGGCCCGGUAAGUCCGCUGUGAAAGUCCAGGGCUCAACCCUGGAAUGCCGGUGGAAACUGUCGGGCUAGAGUCCGGAAGAGGAGAGUGGAAUUCCUGGUGUAGCGGUGAAAUGCGCAGAUAUCAGGAGGAACACCGAUGGCGAAGGCAGGUCUCUGGGCAUUAACUACGUGAGGAGCGAAAAGCAUGGGGGAGCGAAACAGG